UACGAAGGGGGCUAGCGUUGCUCGGAAUCACUGGGCGUAAAGCGCACGUAGGCGGAUUGCUAAGUCAGGGGUGAAAUCCUGGAGCUCAACUCCAGAACUGCCUUUGAUACUGGCGACCUUGAGUCCGGGAGAGGUGAGUGGAACUGCGAGUGUAGAGGUGAAAUUCGUAGAUAUUCGCAAGAACACCAAUGGCGAAGGCAGCUCGCUGGGACGUGACUGACGCUGAGACGCGAAAGCGUGGGGAGCAAACAGG
rnacentral:rRNA from 1 species